rnacentral:piRNA from 1 species
UGAAAGACCUGCUGUUUGAACCACAGGAAU